UGAUCAUGCGUUCCAUUAGCUGGUUGGCGGGGUAACGGCCCACCAAGGCGACGAUGGAUAGGGGUUCUGAGAGGAAGGUCCCCCACACUGGUACUGAGACACGGACCAGACUCCUACGGGAGGCAGCAGUGAGGAAUAUUGGUCAAUGGGCGGAAGCCUGAACCAGCCAAGUCGCGUGAAGGAAGACUGCCCUACGGGUUGUAAACUUCUUUUGUAUGGGAGUAAAAGAGUCCACGUGUGGGCUAUUGCAAGUACCAUACGAAUAAGCAUCGGCUAACUCCGUGCCAGCAGCCGCGGUAAUACGGAGGAUGCGAGCGUUAUCCGGAUUUAUUGGGUUUAAAGGGUGCGUAGGCGGCCCUAUAAGUCAGCGGUGAAAUGUUCCGGCUCAACCGGGAAACUGCCGUUGAAACUGUAGGGCUAGAGUCCACAAGAGGUAUGCGGAAUGCGUGGUGUAGCGGUGAAAUGCAUAGAUAUCACGCAGAACCCCGAUUGCGAAGGCAGCAUACUGGGGUGAAACAGACGCUGAAGCACGAAAGCGUGGGUAUCGAACAGGAUUAGAUACCCUGGUAGUCCACGCCGUAAACGAAGAAUACUAACUGUUUGCGAUAUACAGUAAGCGGU
rnacentral:rRNA from 1 species